CCGACCUGAACUCAGACGCGACU
rnacentral:rRNA from 1 species